UACGGGUGGUUGGCUCUUUGCUUGCGCAACAACUUCCACCUGUCAUUCCUCUUCAGUCUUGUGUCAAUGCUUAGCAUUGAAUGCACGGUGGGUUUCUUGUGUUGCAUACCUAAUUAAUGGUAUCGUUUGAUGAAUUGGUAUUCCUUUCGUCUUGUGUCGCCUAAGCGAUGUGUGAUGAACCUUGAAGCAGCCUUUGUGAUCCACUCUUUUGAUGCAUAUGCAUUGAUUUUGUGGCCCAUUGAGUGUUGCUUGGUCUCAUGGAUAUGGAAACUGGUGUGGGCAUGGAAUCUUAAUGGUUCCUUGUUUGCCCAACUUUAGCUUUUCUAAAACGAUUGUCUAUCAUGUGUUAACAUGGUAGACUCAUUCGAAUAUGAAUGCUACCU
rnacentral:misc_RNA from 1 species